rnacentral:rRNA from 1 species
GUUGCGGUUGGCGGCGAGGUUAAGGCGUGAACCGAGCCGCAGUGAAAGCGAGCCUUUAAGAUGGCGAUCAGUCGCCAGCCGCAGACGCGAAGCCGGGUGAUCUAUCCAUGGGCAGGCUGAGGCAGAGGUAAGACUCUGUGGAGGGCCGAACCCACUUCGGUUGAAAACGGAGGGGAUGACCUGUGGAUAGGGGUGAAAGGCCAAUCAAACCCGGAGAUAUCUCGUUCUCCCCGAAAUAGCUUUAGGGCUAGCCUCGAUCGCUUACCGACGGUGGUAGAGCACUGGAUCCGUGCGGGGGCCUCACCGCCUACCAACCGAAACCAAACUCCGAAUGCCGUCGGUCCCGAGAUCGGGAGUCAGAACAUGUGGGCUAAGCCGUGUGUUCGAGAGGGAAACAGCCCAGACCGCCUGCUAAGGUCCCCAAAUCAACGCUGAGUGGCAAAGGAUGUGCGUUUGCCUAGACAACCAGGAUGUUGGCUUAGAAGCAGCCAUGCAUUUAAAGAGUGCGUAACAGCUCACUGGUCAAGUGGACAUGCGCCGACAAUACACGGGGCUAAGCGUUGUACCGAAGCAGCGGACUGUUUUAUCAGUGGUAGGGGAGCUUUCCAUGCCGGGGCGAAGCCGACGGGCGACCGUCGGUGGACUGCAUGGAAGUGAGAAUGCUGGCAUGAGUAACGAGAGAGGGGCGAGAAACCCCUCCGCCGUAAGCCUAAGGGUUCCUGGGCAAGGCUAAUCCCCCCAGGGUCAGUCGGGAGCUAAGGCGAGGCCGACAGGCGUAGCCGAUGCACAACAGGCGGACAUUCCUGUACCACCGCGGAGCGUUACUACGACGGGGUGACGGAGAAGGGUAGCCGGGCGGGGUUCUGGACGUCCCCGUGAAAGCGCGUAGGCCGCAGGGCAGGCAAAUCCGCCCUGCAGCGAGGCCGAGACGUUAGACGAAGCUUCAUGUGAAGCCGGCGAGCCCAUGCUUCCGAGAAAAACCUCUAAGGAGCGAGGCGGUGCCCGUACCAAAACCGACACAGGUAGGCGGGUAGAGCAUACCAAGGCGAUCGGGAGAACCAUGGUUAAGGAACUCGGCAUACUGACUCCGUAACUUCGGGAGAAGGAGUGCCCCCGCCUGUGAGGUCCCACGCGGACGGAGCGGGAGGGGGUCGCAGCGAAACGGCCCAAGCGACUGUUUACCAAAAACACAGGACUCUGCAAAGCCGCAAGGCGACGUAUAGGGUCUGACGCCUGCCCGGUGCUGGAAGGUUACGCGGAUGAGUUAGCGCAAGCGAAGCCCUGAAGCCAAGCCCCAGUAAACGGCGGCCGUAACUAUAACGGUCCUAAGGUAGCGAAAUUCCUUGUCGGGUAAGUUCCGACCUGCACGAAUGGCGUAACGACUUGGGCGCUGUCUCAACCAUGGACCCGGUGAAAUUGUAUUAUUCGUGAAGAUGCGAAUUACCUGCGGAAGGACGGAAAGACCCCGUGAACCUU